GUAUAGGUUUUAUUAUUAUUAAUAAAUUAUUAUUAAAUAAUUGUAUUUAAAUAUACAGCCACAGAAGGUGCCAGCCCUGUUAUUUAAUAAUAUUUAUUAAAUUUAUAAAACUUUAGAGUCGUGUUGCUUGGAAGUGCAGCACAAAGUUGGUGAUAAACAUCAUCUAAGGCUAAAUAUUCCUAUGAAUCCGAUAGCGAACAAGUACUGUGAAGGAAAAUUGCAAAGUACUCCGGAGAGAGAGUUAAAGAGGACGUGAAACCGAUACGAUGGAAGCAUACAGAGCCAGUUGCACUAUUAUUAAUAUUUUUUUAUUAAUAAUUUUAAGCAUGGGUAUAUUGAUUAUUAAUUAGUUAUUUAUUAAAGAGUGAUAAAAUUUUUUAAAUUUUGUUAACUUUAAUAAAAUAAUUAUAUUUAUAAUUAAUAUUAUAUAAUUAUUAAUGUAUUAAUAAUAUUUUAAUUAUUAAUAUAAUAUAAGACACAUGUGUUAAAUAUUAUUUAUUAAUAAUUAUUAUAUUAUUAUAAAUUAAUAA
rnacentral:rRNA from 1 species